rnacentral:rRNA from 1 species
CAUCAGCUACGGGGGGCAGCAGUGGGGAAUAUUGCACAAUGGGGGGAACCCUGAUGCAGCAAUGCCGCGUGGGUGAAGAAGCACUCCGGUGCGUAAAGCCCUGUCAGCAGGGAAGAAAAUGACAGUACCUGACCAAGAAGCCCCGGCUAACUACGUGCCAGCAGCCGCGGUAAUACGUAGGGGGCAAGCGUCAUCCGGAUUUACUGGGUGUAAAGGGAGCGCAGGCGGUAUGGAAAGUCAGAUGUGAAAACCCAGGGCCCAACACUGGGACUGCAUUUGAAACUGCCC